AACGCACCUUGCGCUCCUUGGUAUUCCGAGGAGCAUGCCUGUUUGAGUGUCAUUAAAUUCUCAACCUUAUUAGCUUUUGCUGAUAAUGGAUUGGAUGUGGGGGUCUCUUUUGCCGGCUUCUUUACGAGGUCAGCUCCCCUUAAAUGCAUUAGCUGGUGCCCCGCGUGGACCAUCUAUUGGUGUGAUAAUUAUCUACGCCGUGGAUGUCUGCAAAUCAUAUGGGUUUCGCACUGCUUCUAACCGUCUGUUCAUUCGGACAAUAUAUGACAAUUUGACCUCAAAUCAGGUAGGACUACCCGCUGAACUUAA
rnacentral:misc_RNA from 1 species